rnacentral:rRNA from 1 species
AUUGAACGCUGGCGGCAGGCCUCACACAUGCAAGUCGAGCGGAGCGGCGGACGGGUGAGUAAUGCCUAGGAAUAUGCCUGGUAGUGGGGGAUAACGUCCGGAAACGGGCGCUAAUACCGCAUACUAUCAGAAUAGGCUAGGUCGGAGUAGCUAGUUGGUGGGGUAAAGGCCUACCAAGGCGACGGGCCGUAACUGGUCUGAGAGGAUGAUCAGUCACACUGGAACGGGGACACGGUCCAGACUCCUACGGGAGGGAGCAGUGGGGAAUAUUGCACAAUGGGCGAAAGCCUGAUGCAGCGACGCCGCGUGGGGGAUGAAGGCUUUCGGGUUGUAAACCUCUUUCGCUAUCGAACGGGUAGGUGGAGAAGAAGCGCCGGCUAACUACGUGCCAGCCGCCGCGGUAAUUC